GACGAACGCUGGCGGCGUGCUUAACACAUGCAAGUCGAACGGAAAGGCCCUGCUUGCAGGGUGCUCGAGUGGCGAACGGGUGAGUAACACGUGGGUGAUCUGCCCCUUACUUUGGGAUAAGCCUGGGAAACUGGGUCUAGUACUGGAUAGGACCAUGCUGGAGGUGGUGUGGUGGAAAGAUUAGUUUCGGUAAGGGAUGAGCUCGCGGCCUAUCAGCUUGUUGGUGGGGUAAUGGCCUACCAAGGCGUCGACGGGUAGCCGGCCUGAGAGGGUGGACGGCCACAUUGGGACUGAGAUACGGCCCAGACUCCUACGGGAGGCAGCAGUGGGGAAUAUUGCACAAUGGGCGCAAGCCUGAUGCAGCGACGCCGCGUGGGGGAUGACGGCCUUCGGGUUGUAAACUCCUUUCAGCCAUGACGAAGCCCUUGUGGUGACGGUAGUGGUAGAAGAAGCACCGGCUAACUACGUG
rnacentral:rRNA from 1 species